rnacentral:rRNA from 1 species
AUGUUCCUCAUGAGUAGCACGGCCGGCCCAAUCAUGUGUUGGAACGUCCGGGGCCUGAAUAAUCCAGCCCGGUGUGCUGUAGUACAAGACACGGCAAACGCACACCGUCUAGCCAUUUUCUGCAUCCAGGAGACCAAGCUCGAGGAAUGGACGACAGCGAUUGCUAGAGAAGUAGGAGGGCAAAGGCUCGAUGACCGCAUCGUCCUGCCAGCUAAUGGCACAAGAGGAGGCGCUGCCAUCUUCUGGGAUUCGACCUCGGUCGGCAUCCAAUCCCAUAUGAUCGGCGAGUUCUCCAUCACGGCCAAGGCCACGAUCCUCUCCUCGGGAGCUAGUUUCUGGUUGACAACGGUCUACGACCCGUCUGAGAGCGCGCGAAAGGACUCCUUUCUGGUGGAGCUAGUCAGAGCUGCACACCCCCCGGAGAGCCCUGGCUCCUAA